UACGUAGGGACCAAGCGUUGUUCGGAUUUACUGGGCGUAAAGGGCGCGUAGGCGGCAAUUCAAGUCAUCUGUGAAAUCUCCGGGCUUAACUCGGAACGGUCAGAUGAUACUGCUUUGCUAGAGUGCGGAAGGGGCAAUCGGAAUUCUUGGUGUAGCGGUGAAAUGCGCAGAUAUCAGGAGGAACACCGGUGGCGAAGGCGGGACUCUGGGCCGAUACUGACGCUGAGGAGCGAAAGCGUGGGGAGCAAACAGG
rnacentral:rRNA from 1 species